rnacentral:rRNA from 1 species
CAGUAGCCGCGGUAAAACGGAGGGUGCAAGCGUUAAUCGGAAUUACUGGGCGUAAAGCGCACGCAGGCGGUUUGUUAAGUCAGAUGUGAAAUCCCCGGGCUCAACCUGGGAACUGCAUCUGAUACUGGCAAGCUUGAGUCUCGUAGAGGGGGGUAGAAUUCCAGGUGUAGCGGUGAAAUGCGUAGAGAUCUGGAGGAAUACCGGUGGCGAAGGCGGCCCCCUGGACGAAGACUGACGCUCAGGUGCGAAAGCGUGGGGAGCAAACAGGAUUAGAUACCCCGGUAGUCCCUGUCUCUUAUAC